rnacentral:rRNA from 1 species
GGCGCAAGCCUGAUCCAGCCAUUCCGCGUGAGUGAUGAAGGCCUUCGGGUUGUAAACUUCUUUUGUGCGGAACGAAAAGGCUCGCUCUAAUACAGGAGGCUCAUGACGGUACCGUAAGAAUAACCACCGGCUAACUACGUGCCAUCAGCCGCGGUAAUACUUAGGGUGCGAGCGUUAAUCGAAAUUACUGGGCGUAAAGCGUGCGCAGGCGGUGGUGUAAGACAGGUGUGAAAUCCCCGGGCUCAACCUGGGAACUGCAUUUGUGACUGCAGGGCUGGAGUGUGGCAGAGGGGGAUGGAAUUCCACGUGUAGCAAUGAAAUGCGUAAAUAUGCGGAGGAACACCGAUGGCGAAGGCAAUCCCCUGGGCCUGGACUGACGCUCAUGCACGAAAGCGUGGGGAGCAAACAGGAUUAGAUACCCUGGUAGUCCACGCCCUAAGCGAUGUCAACUGGUUGUUGCUCGAUCAGUAGAUCGUCUCCGCAGGUCACGCGUGAAGUUGACCGCCUGUGGAGUGCAGUCACGAGGUUGAAACUCAAUGA